GCCUUGCAUAAAAUUUCACUAUAGAGCAAAGGUUAGAGCAAGUAUACCUUCAAGCUGCCACUACAAGCGCAAGGGGUCUCCAGGUUCU